GCGCAGCAGGCGCGAAUCCUCCGCAAUACACGAAAGUGUGACGGGGCCAUCCCGAGUGCCGUCCGCUGAGGACGGGCUUUCCCCAGUGUACACAGCUGGGGGAAUAAGGAGAGGGCAAGCCUGGUGUCAGCCGCCGCGGGUAAUACCAGCGUCUCCGAGUGGUGGGGACGCUUAUUGGGCCUAAAGCGAUCCGUAGCCGGCUGGGCAAGUCCUCGUAAAUCCAACGAUUCAAUCGUUGGGCUGCGGGGGAUACGUGU
rnacentral:rRNA from 1 species